rnacentral:rRNA from 1 species
GUGGUAAUGCCGGAUGCUCCAGUUGACCGCAUGGUCCUCUGGGAAAGCUUUUGCGGUAUGGGAUGGGGUCGCGUCCUAUCAGCUUGAUGGCGGGGUAACGGCCCACCAUGGCUUCGACGGGUAGCCGGCCUGAGAGGGCGACCGGCCACAUUGGGACUGAGAUACGGCCCAGACUCCUACGGGAGGCAGCAGUGGGGAAUAUUGCACAAUGGGCGCAAGCCUGAUGCAGCGACGCCGCGUGCGGGAUGACGGCCUUCGGGUUGUAAACCGCUUUUGACUGGGAGCAAGCCCUUCGGGGUGAGUGUACCUUUCGAAUAAGCACCGGCUAACUACGUGCCAGCAGCCGCGGUAAUACGUAGGGUGCAAGCGUUAUCCGGAAUUAUUGGGCGUAAAGGGCUCGUAGGCGGUUCGUCGCGUCCGGUGUGAAAGUCCAUCGCUUAACGGUGGAUCCGCGCCGGGUACGGGCGGGCUUGAGUGCGGUAGGGGAGACUGGAAUUCCCGGUGUAACGGUGGAAUGUGUAGAUAUCGGA